AUUUAUAUAAUAUAUAUAGUAUAUUUGACUUCCAAUCAAAAAGUUUAAACUGUUUAAUAUAAAUA
rnacentral:tRNA from 1 species